rnacentral:rRNA from 1 species
UGGGGAAUUUUGGACAAUGGGCGCAAGCCUGAUCCAGCAAUGCCGCGUGCAGGAUGAAGGCCUUCGGGUUGUAAACUGCUUUUGUACGGAACGAAAAGGCUCUGGUUAAUACCUGGAGCAUAUGACGGUACCGUAAGAAUAAGCACCGGCUAACUACGUGCCAGCAGCCGCGGUAAUACGUAGGGUGCGAGCGUUAAUCGGAAUUACUGGGCGUAAAGCGUGCGCAGGCGGUUUUGUAAGACAGAGGUGAAAUCCCCGGGCUCAACCUGGGAACUGCCUUUGUGACUGCAAGGCUGGAGUGCGGCAGAGGGGGAUGGAAUUCCGCGUGUAGCAGUGAAAUGCGUAGAUAUGGCGGAGGAACACCGAUGGCGAAGGCAAUCCCCUGGGCCUGCACUGACGCUCAUGCACGAAAGCGUGGGGAGCAAACAGGAUUAGAUACCCUGGUAGUCCACGCUGGUAAACGAUGUCGAUUUGGAGGUUGUGCCCUUGAGGCGUGGCUUCCGGAGCUAACGCGUU